ACUCUCGUGUGGUAAGGUUGUUAAAAAGUUUUAUCUCAUAAAAUCGCAAAUUUUAAAGUAUAAAGUUAAAAAAGUUUAAAAAUUGAGCGGGAAAAAUUUUAAAAAGAUUUAAGAUAUUUUUUAAAAAUAAUUAUAAAAGACAAAUUUAUUUCGUUUCAUAAAAACUUCUCGAAUAAAUAAAAUUUAAUUAAUUAAAAACAGUACCUUCUACAAAAAAAAAGUGAAAAUGUCUGACAGAAAUAUUCAACGUUACGGUCAAUCUGGAAGCAACGUUAGCCAUUAUUCCUCGCACGGUCGACACGCAUAUUCGUCUGGAACUGAGAUUCAGGUUAAAGAACGGUAUAAUGUAGAGCAUCGCUCAAAUGGACAUUCUGUCGAGUACCAAAUGAAAUUGAAGGUGAAGGAUACUUACGGCCAUUCGUCACACUAUAAAGCAUCCAGUUACGAAUAUGAUUCAGAUUAAUGUUUCAAAAGCAUCACUGGUGAUCGUCUCGCGUACUUUUUUUUUAUUAAAUUUUAAAGUGUGUCAAUAUUAUUAAUUAUUAUGUUGAUUCAUGUUUUCAAGAAUAUUUUUCCAAGUUUAGAUGAAUAAAACAAAAAAUAAAAAAAAAAGAAAUAAUGAAAAUAAAUUAUCAAGCCUAUA